AACGAACGCUGGCGGCAGGCUUAACACAUGCAAGUCGAGCGGAGAUGAGGUGCUUGCACCUUAUCUUAGCGGCGGACGGGUGAGUAAUGCUUAGGAAUCUGCCUAUUAGUGGGGGACAACAUUCCGAAAGGAAUGCUAAUACCGCAUACGCCCUACGGGGGAAAGCAGGGGAUCUUCGGACCUUGCGCUAAUAGAUGAGCCUAAGUCGGAUUAGCUAGUUGGUGGGGUAAAGGCCUACCAAGGCGACGAUCUGUAGCGGGUCUGAGAGGAUGAGCCGCCACACUGGGACUGAGACACGGCCCAGACUCCUACGGGAGGCAGCAGUGGGGAAUAUUGGACAAUGGGCGGAAGCCUGAUCCAGCCAUGCCGCGUGUGUGGAGAAGGCCUUUUGGUUGUAAAGCACUUUAAGCGAGGAGGAGGCUACCUGGAUUAAUACUCUAGGAUAGUGGACGUUACUCGCAGAAUAAGCACCGGCUAACUCUGUGCCAGCAGCCGCAGUAAUAC
rnacentral:rRNA from 1 species